rnacentral:sRNA from 1 species
UAUUUUGGUGUGCGUCAAUGUUGGAC